UCCGGCGUGGUCUAGUGGCUAGGAUACCUGGCUUUCACCCAGAAGGCCCGGGUUUGAUUCCCGGCGUCGGAA
rnacentral:tRNA from 1 species